rnacentral:lncRNA from 12 species
GGGGGGGGGGGGGGGGGGGGGGGGGGGGGGGGGGGGGGGGGGGGGGGGGGGGGGGGGGGGGGGGGCGCUCUCUGAUUGGCUGAGCGCUGUAACCCCGCCCUCCCCCGCCUCUGAUUGGCUGACGGGCCUUCUUUAGCGGGGCGACGCCGGAAGUGAAGGCUUCCCGCCUUCUCGCAUUGUGGGAGCGCCGCCAUGUUGAACCGUGAGGGGAAGCGGGAGCGUCCGUGAAACCUCCCCGCAAAAAACCCCCAAACCCCCUCGGGACCCUCCAAAAAAAAACCCUAAAACCCCUUUGGGAACCCUCAAAAUCCCCGGGGGGGGGGGGGGGGGGGGGGGGGGGGGGGGGGGGGGGUUUGUCUCAAGAUUUGCCUCAUUUUUAUCAAAGAUUCACUUCAGGGCCUCGGGGAUUCCACAGGUUCAGGUCAGUUAAGGGCAAUUUAGAUCCAGUUUUGGUAUUCGGCUGCAUUUUAGACGGAUUCGAGUCAAUCUUCGGGGUUUCAAGGAUUUAAGGGAUCCCCGCCCUCUUGAAAUUUAAGAUUUAAGGGGCCUCCCUUCUCCUGAAUUUUUGGAUUCAGCGGAUCUCCCCUCUC